rnacentral:rRNA from 1 species
GAUUUCUGGUUUAAUGCACCUGGCCCGCAGCCUUUUAGGCUCGUGAGUGCCGGCGCGCGUUUACCAUCCUUCUAGAAAUCGGCUCUGCCAUUCACUUGGUGGGGUCGCGAUCUAGAUCUUUUACUUUGAAAAAAUUAGAGUGUUUAAAGCAGGCUUUUGCUAUGAAUACAUUAGCAUGGAAUAAUAAUCUAGGACUUCGGUUCUAUUUUGUUGGUUUCUAUAACUGAAGUAAUGAUUGAUAGGGAUAGUUGGGGGUGCUAGUAUUGGCCGGCCAGAGGUGAAAUUCUUGGAUUCGGUCAAGACUAACUUAUGCGAAAGCAUU